rnacentral:lncRNA from 10 species
UGCUGAAUGUUCCAGUCUCUGUUACUCAUGGAUUAGCUCAUUUAAUAUGUAGCUAAUAAAGUCUGAGCCCUCACUCCACAGGCCAUUGGAAUUUCAUUCAUCUACUGGAUUCUCCUUGCCAAGUAAUUUCUGGGAAUUCCUCAGUCUUGCUCACAUGUUGUACUACUCUCUCCUGGAUGUCACUUGUCACCUCUACCAGCCCUCCUUUCUCCAGAUGGCUUCUUCAUAACCACCAGGUCAGAAGAGGAUCCGUUCCAAUGAUUUUCCUAAAACAAUGGAAGUGUUUUCCAAAGAGCUUAUAAGGCAUUGUAGGAUCUGGCCUGCCCUGACUCCACUUUACCAGAACCAUCUGCUGCUCUUCUCUCUUGUGUUACUCAAGGUAUUAGCUGCUGUGGCAAAUCAACUCUGAAAUCUCCGUGACUUAAUACAAGAGAGGUUUAUUUCUUACUCACGCUGGGUGCACUGCCACUUGGUAACAGAGGAGCUAUGGAAACUUGAGACCUAAGCAGAAAUGAGUUCAAUAAUAUUGCUACACUCUAGGACUUUCUCCAAAAUUAACAACAGAACAAAAGUGCAAGGCAGUGAUAACCCAUCUGACAGCAUUUGGGGAGUGUUUGUGAAAGCAAUGGUGAUGGAGGUUUUAAAAGAAUGUCAGAUCAUAUAAGCAAGAAUGUUGAUGAACAUAGCUUGGGACCAAGACGGCUUCAUUUUGAUCCCAAGGCCUGCUGACAAUGUGCUGAAAGGAAAGAGGAUCUUCAAUUUUUUUAAAAACAGGAAUGAUUUGGUGUGUUCGUUCUUAACAAUUGUUAAACAACAUAAAAUGUGAUUCUUAUACUUAAUUUUUGUCUCUCAAAGUUAAAGUAAUAGGAGGUAACCACACAGUUGGAAAUUUGCUGAUAUACAUACAAAUGAUGUCAUAAAAAUUGGGGAUGUUUAGAUAAAAAUCAGGGUUAGACUGACGUGUUUAACUCCAAAGCUUUCUACACCUGGAAGACAUUACUCAAGCCCUGUUACAGUGCUAUGAUACUAAUUAGUGCCAAUACCCUCCAAUAAUUUUGAAUUCUUUAACUCUCUCAUUAAUCCUGAUGUACAUUUCAGGAAAAUGAAUUCAUGCUGAUUUGACAUCAAGCAAUAAAUAAAGGCAGUGAAGGACACUUGCCCUUGGUGGAAAGAUGGCAUCUUAGCCAGGCAGCCAGCCGGUCUGUCAACAGCAUUUAUUGAGUGUCUAAUGAGAGAAAGGCCACGAGACAAAGAGGAGACAUGGGCUCUGGCCUUGGGGAGCAGCCAGGGCAAUGACAGAGGCAGAGAAAAGAGUGGAGAUGUGUCUGCCAAAUAUUGGAGAAGCAGCACAUCAGUGAGGGCAACCUGGAGGAGGGGGCGCCUCCCGUUUGCUGGUCACCUUGCGCAUGGCAGCCUAUGCUAAUGGCCUUUUUAUUGGUGAACCUAUCAGAUACUCAAGCAAUGCUGUGAGGGAAAUGGUGCCAACUUCUCCAUGCCUCAGUUUCUCAGCUGUAAAAUGAACUCCACUGAGUGGCUGGGGAGUGGCAAAGCCAGUGUCUGUGCAACUCCUUCCACAGACAGAGGGCUGUCUGUGGUCAGAGGGCACUGAACACUGGCAGGGGCGAGGAAAUGAGAAGAGGGGUGCUUCAGCUACAGCUGUCUAAGACUCCCCCACCUUUCAGGCCCAUUAAGAAAAUGUAAGAUUUCAAAUGAGGGGA